rnacentral:lncRNA from 1 species
AUUGUAAAAUCAGAAGAAAGCUCUAUCAUUUUAAGUCAAAUCGACUCAUUUUUCGAAUCUCCAUCCUGGGCUUGAAAUGAUGAGACAUUCUUACUAAGCUGAUAUUUACAAUUGGAUCUGGAGUCAACGGAAAGCUUCCAUGGCGAAACUACCAAGUCAUUUCCCGUUUUAUUGUCCUUUUCAAAGCUUGAUCCUGAACGGGGGAAAGGAAAGAAGCUCAUUGAGUUGAAGCAAUCUUUGGUGGCAAGUCUAGAAGACCAAAGGAAGAGAAGAGAAAUGAAGAAGUAGAGCAAGACAUCGGGAGAUCAAGAAAAAAGAAAUUAGAAGAAGAUGACAAAGGAGAUCUGGGUUCCCAGGAAGCCCUGAAACAGGCAUGUUCUCAAGUGGAAGAUGCACAAAUGAAUAUGUUAAGAAACCAGAAUGAGGACCUUGCACAGCAAGUGGAAGCAGCAUCUUCAAAAUGUAUCCAAUCGGAAUGGACAAUGUGAGGUCUUCGUCGAGAGUUACUUUCUAAGGAAAGUGUGGAAGAGAAAAAUGGCAAACUGGAAAAGGAAAAGAGCCAAUUGGAAGAAGAAAUAGCUAAUCUGAAGCAUCGUUUUAAAAUGACUAUGCUAGAGCACAGACAAGUGGAACAAUACAAAUCUGAGGUGGAUGAACAAGCAACACAAGAGAUUAUAGGAAAACUGAGAACAAUCAAACUAUUUUUGCAGACACAAGCAGCAUUCCAAAACAACACAGAACAAUUAAGAGAAAAUCACCAAGCUCCAAGAGGAAAUGAAAUGGAGUGGCGAAUGAAACAUAGAAACUGAACUGUCCACAUUAAAAAGCUCACAUCGAGAUGCUGAGGAACAGCUUGAGAGACACGCACAAGUCUAUUUUAAGGAACUAAAAGCCAAUGAAUCAUUAUCCAAGGAAUUAGAUAG